AUACCCCAACAGCUAGCCUGACUUCAAACUGUAACCCCUCCCCUAUAAUUGCUUAAAAAUAAAAAUUUAAUACACAACAAACCAUUUUUCCCCCUAAGUAUGUGCGACAGAAAAGGAACUUAGAGCCAUAGAAAAAGUACCGCAAGGGAAAGCUGAAAGAGACAAUGAAAAAGCCCAGUAAAGGUCAAAAAAGCAGAGACCUUUCCUCGUACCUUUUGCAUCAUGCUUUAGUCAGUACCCAUCAGGCAAAGAGUUCUUUAUGUUUGACCUCCCGAAACUGAGCGAGCUACCCCAAAAUAGCCUAUUGGAGGGCAAACCCGUCUCUGUUGCAAAAGAGUGGAAAAAUUUUUGAGUAGAGGUGAUAAACCUACCGAGCCCAGUUAUAGCUGGUUGCCUGAGAAAUGAAUAAAAGUUCGACCUUUUAUCUUUUUCUAGGAAAUAUCAAACACAACCUUUGUUUUAAGCCCUAAAAGAAGCUAAAAGAGCUAUUCAAGAGAGGGAUAGCUCUCUUGAAAAAAGAUACAACUUUAACAGAAGGUUAAAGACCAUAAAAAAUAAGGACACACGCCCAAGUAGGCUUAAAAGCAGCCACCUUUAUAAACAGCGUUAAAGCUUAAGUCUUUCAAGCCCCUAUAUUCAAAAAAUCUUUCUUAAUCCUCUGGCUCUCCACCAGGCUACUUCAUGCAUACAUGAAGGAACCCCUGCUAAUAUGAGUAAUAAGAGGGCAACGCCCCUCUCCCUGCACCUGUGUACAUCAGAACGGACCCGACACUGAAAAUUAACGCUCCCACAAAAGAGGGUAAUAAAAUAAAACUUCCAAAACCAGAAAUUCAUCUACACCUAAGACGUUAAACCCACACAGGAGUGCCCCCGGAAAGACUAAAAGAAAAAGAAGGAACUCGGCAAACACUGGCCUCGCCUGUUUACCAAAAACAUCGCCUCUUGCCAUAAAUAUAUAAGAGGUCUCGCCUGCCCUGUGACCGAAAGUUCAACGGCCGCGGUAUUUUGACCGUGCGAAGGUAGCGUAAUCAUUUGUCUUUUAAAUAAAGACCUGUAUGAAUGGCAUUACGAGGGCCAAACUGUCUCCUUUUUCCAGUCAAUGAAAUUGAUCUGCCCGUGCAGAAGCGGACAUAAAAACAUAAGACGAGAAGACCCUAUGGAGCUUUAGACAUAAGGCAGCCCAUGUCAAGCCCUUCCAUAAACUAAAUGGCCCCCUGCCCCCUUUGUCUUUGGUUGGGGCGACCACGGAGUAAUAAGCAUCCCCCAUGUGGAAUGGAGUCUAAACUCCUUAUGCCAGAGCAACAGCUCGAACAAACAGAAUUUCUGACCCUAAAGACCCGGCACGCCGAUCAACGGACCAAGUUACCCUAGGGAUAACAGCGCAAUCCUCUCCUAGAGCCCUUAUCGACGAGUGGGUUUACGACCUCGAUGUUGGAUCAGGACAUCCUAAUGGUGUAACCGCUAUUAAGGGUUCGUUUGUUCAACGAUUAAAGUCCUACGUGAUCUGAGUUCAGACCGGAGAAAUCCAGGUCAGUUUCUAUCUAUGAGCUAAUGCUUUUUUCUAGUACGAAAGGACCGAAACUAAAGAAGGCCCAUGCUCUAAAUAUGCCUCCCCCCAAACUAAUGUAACCAAAUAAAAAAAAUAAAGGGGCACAAAUCUCUUUCACGCCAAGAUAGACCGCAAA
rnacentral:rRNA from 1 species